rnacentral:lncRNA from 1 species
AGCAUUGCAGUGUCAGAAGCAGAGUUCAAAGGAUAAAAGUGAUUGCUAUUAAGAGAAAACAAGGCUACCAAGUCUCCAUGAGCAUCUUGGAGCAGGUGAGGUUUCAUUAAACUGUGUGAGAUAGCAAAGAUUGAGACAUUGUGAAAAGGGUAAGGAUGGCAGCAGUUAUUCUAAGCAAGGAGGAUGUCUUGAGUUACAAAAUAAAUUCUAGCCUGAGUAAAAGGUUCCCCCUUGAGGAGAAGAUAAAAAAGGCUGGAGUAGGUCGGGGUUGGACCGUUGAAGACCUUGGAUGGCAGCCCAGGACUUCAGCCUUGUGACUGAGGCCCCAACAGGAAGAAGUGAGUGCCUGGUGGUUGUAUGAGCAGAAGAGGCAGAAGCAAUGGGAGUGGAGCCUGGAGAAGAGACCGAAGGACUCCUGCAGGCAGAGCCUGUACCAAUGUGAGGUGAGUUUGAAACAAGCUGGAAGAAGAGGAAGGAUCACUCAAGGGCUACCAACAUGGAAGCAGUCCUGAUGCCACACUUCCAGCCCCCUGAGGACAACUGGACCAUAAAAGGAGUGGUGAGGAAGGAGAGGGUUGGCAGUGGCAUGCCAGUGUCUGCUCUGCUUCUGCUCUGGCUUCCCUGGUCAAAAUCUCAAGCAGAGCUUUUUCAGUCUACCCAGCCCAGAAUGUGUGCAUGUAGCUCCAGGACAACAACAGCGUCUUUGCCAGGGGUGCUGGGCUCUGGCUUUCAAUGUGGACUACACAGGCCAAGUCGCUUCUCCAACAAAAGAG